CCCCUCUCAGGAUCGCACCUGGAGAGUUUCCAGUACUCUACCAGUCUCGAUUACGGGAGGGAGAGCCAAGCAGAGGCAUACCAAAUCCAUUCCUAGCUUGGGCAGUGGCUAGUAAGUGGAAGGCAGUCGACUACAAGU